CUGAGUUACUAAUAAUUUACUCCCUGAGGAAUGCCAGUAAGUUUGGGAGCAGGUGAGAAUACAUGCAGACGAACAUACCCAAUUGGAUCUGAGGCAGUACCUGACCAAGAUCCCCGAUGGAAUUAUAAUUCCACAGGUGGUAUUUUAGCCAGAGAUAGAUUUAUAAUCUGUCUCCUGGCCGGUCUUUACAGGACAGUCUUAAAACCAGUGAAUUUUGGAAAAACUACAAGAGGUCAUCCAGGAAAAACAGGAAAACCCAUCCCAAUUUUUUAGAACGCCUUACAAAGGCUUUAUUACAAUACACUAAUCUGGACCCUGAAAACUCAGAAGGUAAGCAACUUCUGACGACCUAUUUCUUUUCCCAGAGCUACCCCGACCUAAAAGACAAACUUAAAAAGCUAGAGUUAGUUGUGGGCCCCUAACUCCACAGGCAGAAGUUUUGGCAGUGGCCUUUAAGUGCACCAUGGAAGGGACGAGAAGGCUCGCAGACUAAAGUACCCAUAUGCUGGCAAAGGCUGUCCGACCAGCCUCAGCCACUGCCAGGAACUCCUGGCCUUCUAGGCUAAGGGACCACCAGGCUCCUGCUGCAAAUGUGGUCGACAAGGUCAUUGGGCGAGGGCUUACCCUAACUUCCACAAGCCAAGGGGCCAUGUCCUAGGUGCCAUCAAGAGGGACACUGUACUGUUGAUUGCCCCUGUGUUGAGCAGGACAGGAGACAUCACAUCCAGAUAACCCUCCAGAGGAUCUCCUAGGCUUGGCUAUGGACGACUGAAGGGGCCUGAGUUCCCUGGACUUGACCACAGCCAUCACCAGCAGAGCCCUGGGUAACCAUUCUGGCACAGGAAACCCACUCAGACCCACCUCUCAUGGACUAAAUAGACUCCACCCAGAUCAGAACACCUGACCCGUCAACUGCUCUCAGAGAAACCAGGACACACUCUGCAAAUAAAACAUAGACAGGAACUGGGCAUGGUUGACAUAUCCCCCUCCUCAAAUAAUAAUAAACAAAACAUCAUAAGGAAAAUAGGAUGAUUUUUAUUUAUAGUUUAAUCUGUUUUCUGAAGAUAUAAUUCAUGUUUAUUUUCAAAAACUAAGAUGGCAUUUUUUUUCAUUUUGAAAUUUAAGAUA